GAUGAAGAACGCAGCGAAAUGCGAUAAGUAAUGCGAAUUGCAGAAUUCAGUGAGUCAUCGAAUCUUUGAACGCACAUUGCGCCCUGUGGUAUUCCGCAGGGCAUGCCUGUUCGAGCGUCAUUUCAACCCUCAAGCUCUGCUUGGUGUUGGGCCCUGCCCGCUGCGGCCGGCCCUAAAGACAGUGGCGGUGCCGCCUGGCCCUGAGCGUAGUACAUCUCUCGCUCCAGUGCCCGGUGGUAGCCUGCCAGAACCCCAACUCUCAUGGUUGACCUCGGAUCAGGUAGGGAUACCCGCUGAACUUAAGCAUAUCAAUAAGCGGAGGA
rnacentral:misc_RNA from 1 species